rnacentral:misc_RNA from 1 species
AAGGAUCAUUACCAAAUCCAAAAAAACUUUUAUCAACACCUUAUUGUGCACCGAGAAUGGUUCCGUUCCCCCGCCUCCUCUCUCUCUCUCUCCUUUUCGGAGGGGGGGGGUGAAGGGAUGUUGGGGGAAUGCAUUUUUUUUGUAACACCUUUUCAACCCCAUCAACCCUUGUAUACAUGCUGAAAGCAAACAAAAUAAACGAAACAUGAGACAACUUUUAACGGUGGAUCUCUUGGCUCGU